CUGAGGUCAGGCUUCCUGUGCUUGCCUGGCAGGGGAGAAAUACGAACUGCACGCGGGAACCGAGUCCACCCCCAG
rnacentral:miRNA from 1 species